CCUACGGGUGGCUGCAGUGAGGAAUAUUGGUCAAUGGGCGGAAGCCUGAACCAGCCAAGUAGCGUGCAGGAUGACGGCCCUACGGGUUGUAAACUGCUUUUAUAUGGGAAUAACGCGCCUUACGUGUAGGGCUUUGCAUGUACCGUAUGAAUAAGGACCGGCUAAUUCCGUUCCAGCAGCCGCGGUAAUACGGAAGGUCCGGGCGUUAUCCGGAUUUAUUGGGUUUAAAGGGUGCGUAGGCGGGUUAUCAAGUCAGCGGUAAAAUCGUGGCGCUCAACUCCAUCCAGCCGUUGAAACUGAUGAUCUUGAGUGGGCGAGAAGUAUGCGGAAUGUAUGGUGUAGCGGUGAAAUGCUUAGAGAUCAUACAGAACACCGAUUGCGAAGGCAGCUUACCAAGCUACUUCUGACGUUGAGGCACGAAAGCGUGGGGAGCAAACAGGAUUAGAUACCCUGGUAGUC
rnacentral:rRNA from 1 species